rnacentral:lncRNA from 1 species
GGCAAUCUAACGAAAUUAGAGUUUCUAAACCUGUACGUAAACCAGUUAACCGGCGUAAUACCCCCGGCUAUCGCAAAAUUACCGAAAUUGAAGGAGGUAAAACUCUAUACCAACAAGUUAACCGGUGAGAUACCGGGUGAUUUCGGUUUACACUCAAAUCUAGAGCGGUUAUGAUUUCGGUUUGUACUCAAAUCUAGAGCGGUUCGAAGUGUCGGAGAAUCAGUUAACCGGGAAAAUACCGGAGAAUCUCUGCAAGGGAGGGAAGCUCCUCGGCGUGGUUGUAUUCUCUAACAAUCUCACCGGCGUAAUACCAGAG